CCUACGGGUGGCAGCAGUGAGGAAUAUUGCUCAAUGGACGCAACUCUGAUCCAGCGAUGCCGCGUGCACGAUGACGUAUUUCGGUAUUGAAAGCUGCAUCAGCAGGGAAGAAAAUGACGGUACCUGUCUCUGAAUCACCGUCUAACUACGUGCCAGCAGCCGCGGCAAUACGGAGGGUGCAAGCGUUAUCCGGAUUUACUGGGUGUAAAGGGAGCGUAGACGGCGGUGCAAGCCAGAAGUGAAAGCCCGGGGCUCAACCCCGGAACUGCAUCUGGAACUGUGCUGCUAGAGUGUCGUCGGGGCAGGCGGAAUGUCUAGUGUAGCGGUGAAAUGCGUAGAGAUUA
rnacentral:rRNA from 1 species